ACGAUACACACAAAGCUUCACACACACAGGCAGAGACCGAGGAGACCGAAGUGGAGCAGCACCAGCUUCUCUAUCAGCAGGCGAGCAUCUCACACACAUCUGAAGGAGGCGUGGACAGUGGCCAGGGUUCCUCUGUUUUCUCCUCAGACUCCCCCCACCUGGGUCAGCUGACCAUGUCGUACAGCUGCACCCCUUCUAGCCAGCCUCCUUCCCAGCCCC